rnacentral:rRNA from 1 species
AUACGUAGGGGGCAAGCGUUAUCCGGAAUUAUUGGGCGUAAAGGAUGCGUAGGUGGAUACUUAAGUGGGAUGUGAAAUCCCCGGGCUCAACCCGGGAACUGCAUUCCAAACUGGGUAUCUAGAGGGCAGGAGAGGAAAGCGGAAUUCCUAGUGUAGCGGUGAAAUGCGUAGAUAUUGGGAGGAACACCAGUGGCGAAAGCGGCGCUCUGGACCAAGCCUGACGCUGAGACGCGAAAGCCUGGGGAGCAAACGGGAUUAGAUACCCCGGUAGUCCACGCUGUAAACGAUGGAUUCUAGGUGUCGGAGGUCAUUUACCCCUUCGGUGCCGUAGCCAACGCGUUAAGUAUCCCGCCUGGGGACUACGGCCGCAAGGUUAAAACUCAAAGGAAUUGACGG